rnacentral:rRNA from 1 species
CAGUCGCCGCGGGAAAACGUAGGGCGCAAGCGUUGUCCGGAAUUAUUGGGCGUAAAGAGCUCGUAGGCGGUCUGUCGCGUCUGGUGUGAAAUCCCGAGGCUCAACCUCGGGCUUGCAUCGGGUACGGGCAGACUAGAGUGCGGUAGGGGAGACUGGAAUUCCUGGUGUAGCGGUGGAAUGCGCAGAUAUCAGGAGGAACACCGAUGGCGAAGGCAGGUCUCUGGGCCGCAACUGACGCUGAGGAGCGAAAGCAUGGGGAGCGAACAGGAUUAGAUACCCCAGUAGUCCCUGUCUCUUAUAC